GAUGAACGCUAGCGGCAGGCUUAAUACAUGCAAGUCGAGGGGUAGCAAGAUUGUAGCAAUACAAUUGUUGACGACCGGCAAACGGGUGCGGAACACGUACACAACCUUCCUACAAGUGGGGAAUAGCCCAGAGAAAUUUGGAUUAAUACCCCGUAACAUAGCGAUGUGACAUCACAUUGCUAUUAUAGCUUCGGCGCUUGUUGAUGGGUGUGCGGCUGAUUAGAUAGUUGGCGGGGUAACGGCCCACCAAGUCUACGAUCAGUAGCUGAUGGGAGGGCAUGAUCAGCCACACGGGCACUGAGAAACGGGCCCGACUCCUACGGGAGGCAGCAGUAAGGAAUAUUGGACAAUGGACGCAAGUCUGAUCCAGCCAUGCCGCGUGAAGGAUUAAGGUCCUCUGGAUUGUAAACUUCUUUUAUAAGGGACGAAAAAAGGUCUUUCUAGAUCGUCUGACGGUACCUUAUGAAUAAGCACCGGCUAACUCCGUGCCAGCCGCCGCAGUAAUAC
rnacentral:rRNA from 1 species